UAACACGGAGCUGUAACACUGAUCUGUUUAAGAGCUAAAACACGAUCUGUUCGAGACCUGAGAGCUUUAACACGGUCUGUCCGAGAGCUAUGGCACGCCGAGGGCUCUAUCGUCCGUCGCUUCGAAUUUUUGUUGAGACGAGACAGAACCGAGGAAAAUACACUCGCCUGACACUCCCACCGUGAUGGAGGAGCUGCGGCUGCCUGCGGUGUUCAGUAUUUAUCAUGCGUUGAAUAGUCUGUGGUUACUUGUGUGAUUACCUGUUCAACACAUGUCUUCCACACUCAGCUCUAAGUUCCAUGAAGAAAAGGAGUAUGUCUGCUGCAUAUCAUCUGCACAUGGCAGACUGCCCUCUGGUGGUUAAACACAGAAGAGAGCGUGGCCAGGAAGAGCCAGGAGUAGGUAAGCGCGGCAAGAAGGGCCUCCAGAGGAAGACACGUGUCCGUUCUCCAUCCUUGGGAAAGGCUCCCUCCAAGUCUAACAGCAAGCCCCGGCACAGGAAAAGCAAGGAGCUUUCAAAAGCCCCAGAAACCCCACCCUACCCGCAUUGGGGUGGCCUGGAGAUAGGGGGAAGCUAGUUUAAACAGCUGUUUUCAUCCUCAGCGGUGCUGGCAAAGGCUUAAGAACAGGCUCUCUCUCUAACAAAAUCCUAACACGUAGCGUUUACUAAUUCUGUGGUAUAAAUACUCCCACCGUGGCCAAUUUCAAAUGACCAGUGUGAUGUCACUAAAAGCAUGUCAUUAUAUAGUAUUUCCACCGCACAGAUACCACAGACAUAAUUAAGUUCAAGAACAUGGUUAAUAGUAAAAGAUGGUAAAAUAAUUGGCAAGUGAUGAGUUUGAGUAUUUAUUACAUUUGUUUUCAACAUAGAAUAUUUAAUUGUGAGCUUAUAUGAUUUACUUUUUAAUAAUGACUGCAUUUAACAACUGGCUUGAAAAAUUCUGGAAAAUUUAAUAAUCAGUUCUUGCAAGCCUAGUAGUAAGAACUAGCUCCAGCACACGACUGCUUAUUCCCCUUCCUCUUCUCUUUC